GGGGGUGAAAGGGUUCGACUUAGGUAAGUCGGGUAAGAGUAGCAUGCCGCGGACGCAGGGUGGGCCGCGUUAACAAUCCUUGCACAAUAUAAACGCAAACACACCAGUGUUGAACCGCGUAUUUUCGUUUCAGCCAGCAAUGGCUCCAACGGGGGUUGCGGGCGUACCAGCCGUCAGCUUACACUAAGCUGAUGCCUCUAUUCGCCUUAGUCCACGGGGUGAAAUAGAGCACUAGUGGACUGGCGGGGUUCAGUUUGCCUUUGGGGGCUCCGCAAGAUCUAAAAGGCUGCGGCUUGCUUUAUCCUGUUUAUCGGAGCGGGCAAGAGUAAGCGUAAAGGAUAAACUAAGCAUGUAGCGACUUUUAUCUGAUUGCUUAGGGACCCCGGUUCGAUUCCGGGCACCUCCACCA
rnacentral:tmRNA from 1 species